rnacentral:sRNA from 1 species
UAUGCAGAUGAUAUUGACAUGCCUGGACAGAAUUUUGACUCCAAGAGACGAAUUACUGUCCGGAAUCUCAGGAUUCGAGAAGAUAUUGCAAAAUAUUUGAGGAAUUUAGAUCCAAAUUCUGCCUACUAUGAUCCAAAAACUAGAGCAAUGAGAGAGAAUCCUUAUGCCAAUGCAGGAAAGAAUCCAGAUGAAGUGAGUUAUGCUGGAGAUAACUUUGUUAGGUACACAGGAGAUACCAUUUCAAUGGCUCAGACACAGUUGUUUGCAUGGGAAGCCUAUGACAAGGGAUCUGAAGUGCAUCUACAGGCAGAUCCUACAAAGCUAGAGCUGUUGUAUAAGUCCUUCAAAGUCAAAAAAGAAGAUUUCAAAGAACAGCAGAAAGAAAGCAUCCUGGAAAAGUAUGGUGGCCAAGAACAUUUGGAUGCCCCUCCAGCUGAAUUGCUUUUAGCCCAGACUGAAGACUAUGUGGAGUACUCAAGACAUGGGACAGUCAUCAAAGGACAGGAGCGGGCUGUUGCCUGCUCUAAGUAUGAGGAGGAUGUGAAGAUCCACAAUCACACAGUAUGUGCUAAACUGGAACAAUUUUGUGUCCUUGUUGGUUUUGCUCUGUAUUGCAUUUUUCCACUACAACUUUAUUAGCUAACCAUUUGUAUGCUCUAUGCUUUAAAAAAAAAAUUUUU